rnacentral:rRNA from 1 species
GUGGGGAAUCUUGCGCAAUGGGCGAAAGCCUGACGCAGCCAUGCCGCGUGAAUGAUGAAGGUCUUAGGAUUGUAAAAUUCUUUCACCGGGGACGAUAAUGACGGUACCCGGAGAAGAAGCUCCGGCUAACUUCGUGCCAGCAGCCGCGGUAAUACGAAGGGGGCUAGCGUUGCUCGGAUUUACUGGGCGUAAAGGGCGCGUAGGCGGACAUUUAAGUCAGGGGUGAAAUCCCGGGGCUCAACCUCGGAACUGCCUUUGAUACUGGGUGUCUUGAGUAUGAGAGAGGUGUGUGGAACUCCGAGUGUAGAGGUGAAAUGCGUAGAUAUUCGGAAGAACACCAGUGGCGAAGGCGACACACUGGCUCAUUACUGACGCUGAGGCGCGAAAGCGUGGGGAGCAAACAGGAUUAGAAACCCCUGUAGUCC